UACAGAGGGGGCAAGCGUUGUUCGGAAUUACUGGGCGUAAAGGGCGCGUAGGCGGCCUGUUAAGUCGAACGUGAAAUCCCCGGGCUCAACCCGGGAACUGCGUCCGAUACUGGCAGGCUUGAAUUCGGGAGAGGGAUGCGGAACUCCAGGUGUAGCGGUGAAAUGCGUAGAUAUCUGGAGGAAUACCGGUGGCGAAGGCGGCAUCCUGGACCGGCAUUGACGCUGAGGAGCGAAAGCCAGGGGAGCAAACGGG
rnacentral:rRNA from 1 species